AGAACGCUCACUGGGGCGCGAUUAAAUGUAUUAUUAUUAUUAUUAUUAUUAUUAUUAUUAUUAUUAUUAUUAUUAUUAUUAUUAUUAUUAUUAUUAUUAUUAUUAUGGGCGGAGUGAUUGAAGCAUGCAUGCUACCUCCGCCGCUGGUCGGCCCGGUACUUCACUAUCUCCGCGAUCGGCCCACGCUCG